GGUCUUAUGCAAUAUUUUGCUGUGAAUCAUGUCAGGGCCGGAAGGCAGCAGCAUUAAGUAGAUUAAAAUAUGUGCCAUAAG
rnacentral:SRP_RNA from 1 species